rnacentral:lncRNA from 10 species
CCUGGAACAGACCACUUCUAGAAGUAAGAACCAGUUUACAAAGUACAAAGAACAGAACUCUCUUUUGUCUUGAGGAAGGCUCUGAAUCUGUUUCCUCAUUUGAAAAAGAAGGAUAAUACCAUCAUCUAGCUGAACAGCUGUGGUUUGCUUUUUGUUUCAUUUUGUUUUAAUUCAAAAGAUAUUUGUUGAGUAACCGCUUUGUAUCAAGCACUGUAUUUCUAUUGAUAUCACAGACAAUUACUAUAACAAGCCAAUGAACUGUGAUAGCGCCUAGCACCCAGACUGGCAGAGUGGAAGCUUCCUAAAGCCCCAUUCCGUUCCCAUUCAUUUUUUUCAUUGGAUCUGUCCGGGGACCUCCUCCGAGCCUACUUUCCCAGCCUGCGUCUUUGACAAUGAUUCAGUCUCUCUUCUACCACUCUGCCUUGGGCCUCACAGCACAGGCCAGCAUGGGAAACAUCCAAUAUCCACACAGCAUCCUGAUGGGCAGGGCUCCCACUCAUCUCAGCCCAGCCCUGCCAGCACCUCCCAGACAGGAUGGUAGACCAGGGACUGGAGUCACAAGGAGCAACGCAGGUCUGCCGUACUGAAUUAAAUAGAUGAAAACUUCUGUUUCAGAUACUGCUGAAUUCUUGGGAAACACUUGAAUAAGCAAUACUUUGUGUUUUCUCACGACGGAGCAGGACUGACCCAUAGAAAAGACUCCCUCAGAGCCUGCGGGGGGCUGGGCAGGCUCUGAAUGGCAAGGCAGCCUUUCCCACUGGAAACCAAGGCCUUCCCGCUCCCCAGCCAUUAGCAACACCAAUCCCUUUUUCCCUGUCGCAUUGUGUCAGCAUUCACUUCUGACCAAGAAACCCCAUUAAUUUUCUGUGAUGUACAUCCCAAAUGACAUCACUUCAGUCCUUUGAAAUUCAAAAUGCUGGAUUAAUGAACCACAAACUUCAAGAAAUUGGCUGCACAAUCCAUCACAUCUGACUGCAACUUUACCACUACCUCAAAUUCCAAAGAGCGGCAUAAAUUUCCCAGGCUGCUUUUGAAAAUGAACACAGAAGCCGGAAACAGCAGCCCACACUGCGUUCAUCGUUUCUACAAAUGUUGUGUCUUCUGUGUGCUGGAAAUUAAAUGGUCCCAUUCUCCACCUGGUAUUUUAUUGAUAUAAAUUUAACCUGUUCAAAUGUUGUAUUAAAUUCUAGUCUUUUCCAGAAUAAUCUGCAUUUAAU